AACGGCGAGUGAAGCGGCAAAAGCUCAAAUUUGAAAUCUAGCACCUUCGGUGUUCGAGUUGUAAUUUGAAGAUGGUAACCUUGGGUUUGGCUCUUGUCUAUGUUCCUUGGAACAGGACGUCAUAGAGGGUGAGAAUCCCGUCUGAUGAGAUGCCCAUUCCUAUGUAAGGUGCUAUCGAAGAGUCGAGUUGUUUGGGAAUGCAGCUCUAAGUGGGUGGUAAAUUCCAUCUAAAGCUAAAUAUUGGCGAGAGACCGAUAGCGAACAAGUACAGUGAUGGAAAGAUGAAAAGAACUUUGAAAAGAGAGUGAAAAAGUACGUGAAAUUGUUGAAAGGGAAGGGCAUUAGAUCAGACUUGGUGUUUUACGAUUAUCUUCUCUUCUUGAGUUGUGCACUCGUAUUUCACUGGGCCAGCAUCGAUUCGGAUGGCAAGAUAAUGGCAGUUGAAUGUGGCUUCACUUCGGUGGAGUGUUAUAGCUUCUGCUGAUAUUGCCUGUCUGGAUCGAGGGCUGCGUCUUUUGACUAGGAUGCUGGCGUAAUGAUCUAAUGCCGCCCGUCUUG
rnacentral:rRNA from 1 species